UACGUAGGGUGCAAGCGUUGUCCGGAAUUAUUGGGCGUAAAGGGCGCGUAGGCGGUUCGCUAAGUUGGAUGUGAAAACUCUGGGCUCAACCCAGAGCCUGCAUCCAAAACUGGCGGGCUAGAGUUCUGGAGGGGGUAGCGGAAUUCCUGGUGUAGCGGUGAAAUGCGUAGAUAUCAGGAGGAACACCGGUGGCGAAGGCGGCUACCUGGACAGAAACUGACGCUGAGGCGCGAAAGCUAGGGGAGCAAACAGG
rnacentral:rRNA from 1 species